AGCGAACGCUGGCGGCAGGCCUAACACAUGCAAGUCGAACGGAUCCUUCGGGAUUAGUGGCGGACGGGUGAGUAACACGUGGGAUCGUGCCCUUUGGUUCGGAACAACUCAGGGAAACUUGAGCUAAUACCGGAUGUGCCCUUCGGGGGAAAGAUUUAUCGCCAUUGGAGCGGCCCGCGUCUGAUUAGCUAGUUGGUGAGGUAACGGCCCACCAAGGCGACGAUCAGUAGCUGGUCUGAGAGGAUGAUCAGCCACACUGGGACUGAGACACGGCCCAGACUCCUACGGGAGGCAGCAGUGGGGAAUCUUGCGCAAUGGGCGAAAGCCUGACGCAGCCAUGCCGCGUGAAUGAUGAAGGGCUUAGGAUUGUAAAAUUCUUUCAGCGGGGACGAUAAUGACGGUACCCGCAGAAGAAGCUCCGGCUAACUUCGUG
rnacentral:rRNA from 1 species